GCCUAGUGCAGCCAUGCCGUGCAAACCAGCUAAAGAGUAGGCUGGGCCCGAGAGCCCCCGACUGUUACCACACUGCCAGACUCUUGCAUUAUAUGGGUCACAGGAGUCAAGGCUGGAGGCGUGGGUAGAGGGGAAAGCCAGGACAUCACCCCAACACAGUGUCGAACCAGAACCCCAAGAACUGGCUCCCAAAGAGGAGGAAAAGGGCUGCUGCUCUGAAUCCAGGGUCUGUGCUCCUCUGACUAUACGGGUCUGCCUCCCUUUCAUUACCUGCUCCUUGAAGAUUGGGGAUCUCUGAGAGGUGGGCAGCAAGAAGAAGUGACAGCAAUAACAAAGACUCAGGAGUGGAGGUGAGCCAAGGUUGGUCAAGACACCACGAGAAGCCUACACCAGCUGUGGAAAAGGUUUCUGGGAAAGCGGUCUGGCCCCCGUGUCACGGUUUGCCCAUCUCAAGGGAAGCAAGGGAAUUAACAGACUAGGCCUUGUCUGUUGCUCCUCACCAUGUGGCCCCACUCUCUGUGUGC
rnacentral:lncRNA from 1 species